CGAACGGCCCGCAAGGGCAGUGGCAGACGAGGUAGUAACACGUACGAACGUACCCUGUAGUCUGGAAUAGCUCGUCGAAAGGCGGGGUAACACCGGAUGGUCUCGAAAGAGUAAAGUAUAUCGCUACAGGAGCGGCGUGCGUAAUAUCAGCUAGUUGGUAAGGUAAUGGCUUACCAAGGCUACGACGUUUAGGGGAGCUGAGAGGCUGACCCCCACCGAUGGGACUGAGACACGGCCCAU
rnacentral:rRNA from 1 species